UAAAACACAUGUUCAUUAAUACAGGAAAACAUUAUAAUAAAUGGAAUUAAGGGAAAUUAAAAGAAAUAUGUAUAGUGAAACGAAUUAUGCUUAGAAGAAUAAAGGACAAUUGUUCUACAACUCCACACUCUCUCUCCCUGAACUCAUUUAGUUUCUUGAGUCGACUUCUCCUCUUUGUUUUUUCGAUUUCUUUUCUUCCCUUAGCUUCAACGGCAAGGGGCAACGGCUUGCGGUGGCGCCGUUGUCCUUUUCCACCAACAACCCACCUCACAAACAUAAAAUCUCAUGAAGUGAUCCUAAACUUAUUUCACCCCCCACCAUACGGAUCUAUACAUACCUUGUUUAAAUCAUUACCAAAGGUUCAAAAAUGAAAACCCUGACUUCAAACGCUUUCACUUUAAACCACACAAAUCUAUUCCCAAAACUAUCCACUAAAUCGCGUCAACAUUCAACACACAAUAAACAAGAAAUCAUUCGCACAGGAAGAAUCCACAUGGUAAAACAAUGGUCGACGCUCAGUUUGAAAGUGCAGGGUAAAAAUCAGUUUUCAAUAAUUGAUUAUCAUCCUCACAUGUCUGUACUAAGUUACAGAGUAAAAGGAAACGGAAUCAUCCUGAUGCUUACCGGAUAUGCAGAUUCGAAGGCGAUUGUGGUCCUUGAUCCAGGUGUCAUCAAUGAGCUGGAAAAUCUUGCAUCAUAUCAAGUCGUUAGAGGGAAUUUCCGCUGGAUUUCGUGGGGACCAAAGGUCCUUGUUGCUGCUGACGCAUUGCAGGGUGUUGUUACAAUCAUGAUGUGUUUUGGUUAGUAGUUGCAGCGCUUGUAUCCUGAUUUUACAGCAAGGUUACGUGGUGGUAUGCACGUGUUGGCAAGGUUUGGAGGAUUGUGUAGUUUAAACCAACAUAUUGUUGUAUUGAACAUGUACAUGGCUUUAGAGUUUUCAUAACACUCUUGUAUUUAGUUCUGGUAUGAGCAAGAGGCCAUUUAUGGUUUUGAUCAUGUCCCGGGGAUAUACUUAUGGCAUCCAUCAUAUUUUGGAUUUGGUGCAACAGAGAUCAAUUAUUUUACAUAUGUACUUAGGUCGUAGUUUUUGGUCGUGGCGGCGUAGCCCGAAUGUUGCUUGUAGGCUUUGGCACUGCAGUUUUGAUUUACAGCUCAAAGGUGUCCCAUCAUGAUUCCAACGGUUUUGCACACAACACUGGUUUUGCUUACGUUAAACCAAUAUGGCGACGCCAUUGACCGUCCUUAUUUCACAGCUUUCAUUGGAUAGUUUAGGAUUUUUCUUUUUGAAACUUUGUGAAAUGUUAUGAUCCAUAUUUGUAGUGAGUAUUAUUCAUGAAAUGGAAUUGAGUCAUGCUUGUAUUGAAAUUGUAACCUAAGUUUCUCUGAACAAUCAUUUAAUUUGAAGAUUUAUGAUGGAGUUGCUAGCUUAA